GGGUUCUUUUUGAGCUAAAUAAACACUACGGACGAGAAGUAGUACCUGACAGAGAUAAAACAUUAAGUUUUUAUCGCGAAAUUUCUGCGAGAACAUGUAGUUUAUGUUUAUUUUGAUUAAACCGUAUAUUGUAUUGCCGAAUGGAUUUUGCUGCAGAUAAUGUUUGGGGAGUGGUACUCUUAUUGCUAGGCACAGUCCCGAUUACACUCGGCGAGGGAACGGAGCGAGCGAUAUGCCCCCUACCAACGCCGUGUUACAGCUGGGUAAAUUUAAACGGAGGGACUUGUGAUUUGGGAACCGAGAUUCAGCCGGGCAACACUGUCACGAGCAUUGACGCGUGCCGGAGUUGGUUUCGUGGAUAUAAAUACUACCCGUAGCAGUUCGAUUUGGUGGAAAAUGACCAGAGCUCUGAUGACAAAAUUCUUGACGUGAUGGCUUUGUCGCGUUGCACCAGGCGACCUUUCGACGCAGAUUCCGAAAGAAAUGAUUCCGUGGCCGUUUUGAAGAGCCCGAACAUCGGUGUGACAGCUUGUACAGUGUGGCGCGUGACAUUUCGAUAUCGGUUAUCGGAUUUCCCAGUGUUCGAUUCUGUCAAUCCUCAAAGACAGUUCCAUCUCAAAGUGUUUCUCGAGGAUUAUGGGCAAACAUUUCCUGGUGAACUCCUCUGGGGCAGAGAAGAAGAUUACGAUGGCGUUAUUCCUAAUAUUUGGCAUUCUGGCGAAGCAGUUUUCCACCGUGACUAAAGCGAGCCGUUCGCGUUAUACUGGUUCGCCUAUCACCGACAACUGUGAAGUUAAUCUUAAAUCGAUCGCUGUGGACACCAAGAGGAUUCAGUAUGGUCAGUAAGCGUUUGCGCGUCCAUCCGUCAGUCAGUCCGUCAGUAGGCGCCUGGUAUUAUGUAAAAAAUUGUUCGCCCGUUGGUCUAACAAUGAACACUAAUAUCACAGCCUACCUAAACGUUUUCCCAACCCUCAGUCGGAUAUCAAAAGCCGCAUUAUUCAGUGAUUUUAACGCAGACAAUAAUCUAAUCACAAGUACCAUGUUGUAGCGACAAGUGAUUUUCCCAGUUCCGGCAUCUGCCCAACCAAAACCGCAGCUCCACCAUCAUCACCAACCCCAGUUACAACCAAACGGACUCCAAUCACAACAACAUCAACCACUGAAACGGAAACUCCGGAUUCAGCAACUCCAGCAGAACUGCAGUCCAGCACCCUGAAUCCCGUAUCAUACCGAUGUGAAGCUGGCCCCGGCCAUUAUCGCCCGCUGCACUAACGGUGUAGUCACUAUGCCCUCACUGCAACCUGAUCUCAGUGACGCCAGCACUGCGGUGUUUGACGGGGACAAUUCUUACCGGUGCCGAACACACUUGCGCAAUCUGCACAUGUGGUUGCUGGAGAAAGCCCAAAGACGAUCGCCGUUGCACGGGCCGGUAGAGGUCACCUGUAAAAGAGGCGUGAUGGUGUUUUCCCAGUCAAACCCGAACAUGGCGCACUCAACGAGUUUGCAGUUCCAUGCGUCGUCGCUGGAUACAAAAUGCCGGGUCGUCUUCGCCGGAUUUCUUGCCGAAUUGGUUUCCAUUAGCCAGAUACCGAAGUAGCUGAAGGCUGAAGCUAAUUUAGGGAUAUGUUUUAUUAGACUGAUAUGUGUGAUUAAAUGUCAUAGUUUAUAAGUAGAGGUUCAUGUUUAUUGGUGGUUUUGCACUGGUCUGCUACGCACUGUGGCAGAACAGAUAUUGACGCUUAUUUUAAUUUUAAUGCCCUAAAAUUUCCUCACCCAAUUUUAAGAAUUCCACGAUCAUCCCAUCCGGAAGUUGGAUACUUGUUGUGUUUUAAAUAAAAGAAACCAA